UCUAUCUGGAGAUCACUCCUUUUGGAGCCCUUCUACAAGCCCAGGACACAGCUUUCAGCUGGCUCUGGUUAGAUAUCUUGGUUAAAACUAUUUCUGCUCAAGCCUGGAUUUCUGCUCAAGCCUGGAAAGCUUUAUUGUUAUAGGCAUAUGGCCAGAUAACUACAGUUGUGUUGCUUCUUAAGCCAACUUUGAAUAUAAUUCAAAGAAAUUGAAUUAGUGGACAGCCAGGAGAGCAACACACCAGCAGUUCCCUUGGGAAUCAUGGGAAUUCAGCUGCUGUGAAACAUCCAAGCUGAUGUCACCUGAACACAUUGCUUCUUCUCCUGUUCCUCCUUGCCCAGUGAUGUCAUUGUGACUGUGUUGCCAGGCCUUAUGUUUCCAAGAAGAGAAUUUUAUCUUGAUUAGGCUAAAGGCUUUUUGGGGUAUGGACAGUAUUUAUUUGUGUAAGGAGAAAGGCUCUGUAUUUCUUAAUAAGUUGAAUGAAUUAGUAUUUAUUGUUUGCUUUCUUUAUUCUAAAGCAUUUUUCUAUCCUUCAGUUAUUUUUGUGAGUUUUUUAGAGCUUAUCUAAAUUUAAAGUAAUAACAUUAGAUUAGCAUACAAUAUUGCUGCAUGUGUCACAGUUUUUUUCAUGCAAUGAUUGUCUAAACAUAUCCCCUUUAUAUAUAUUUAUUUAAAUGCACUUUUUUUGCCACGGUUUGACGUACACUGAUUUGUCUAAAUAUGAAUUAGAAAAUUACUGCUUUUCAGGGCACGGGCACUUACACUUUCAUAUGUAUUUUUGUAGAUUGUUUUGUGACUGCCUUGCUAAUUGCUUAUUUUUCAAAAUUCAUUUUCAUCCUUCUUUAUUCCUCUUCUGUUUCAAAUGUACUUUCCAACAAAUUAUUGUUGAAAAUUACAAAUAGCAUUGCCUAGGUCUAGUGGUUUAAUUAUGGUCUAAUCCCACAACCCUGUGCUAAAGAUGUAGCUCUCAGUAAUGUCAUCUGAUUUGACAUCUGUCAGUUCUGAAUUCAUUCCAUGCUCAAUGUUGGUUUGUUUUCCAAGUAUUAAGCUGUAACUCCAUGAAGAACUCUUGUGUAGUAGUUGGAUAUAGUUGGAUUUAUCAUAAAGAUCUGUAAUUUUAUUUAAACAAACAAAAAACACCAAAACUUUAGAUCAGAUAUAGUAACCUGAUCUAAUUAAGGAUUACCUAUAGAAAGCCUUCUCCUGGCCCUGUAGGACUGUAUAAUACAUAUUCCAUUUAUGAAAUAGAACCUAGAGGAGCAUGGUUGUAGCUUAUCUGCCUUUCAUUUUACUACUUGUAUUGGUUUAUAAGAAAACUCAGCCUAAAUUUAAAGAAAGGACACACAGUUCAGUUAUUUAGGGAAUUUAAUUUGAUGUUCUAACUGGCGUUCUGCUUUUAUCCUUAGUAUACAGCGAAACACUGAUUUUUUUCGAAGACAUAAGGUUCACAGAACUUGAACUACUAAAAAUUUCCAUUAAAAUAUAUUCAAAAAACAAUUGAAGUCCACAUAAAUACUUUUGUUAGAAAUACUUUGGCACUCAUCCAGCUGGUGAAGAAGUUAUUUGACAGAAAAAAACAGCUUCUAUGUGGAGGGCUUGAAGAGAUACUUCCACAAUCAAUAUUCAUUUACAAGCAUCAUCAUGUGCAAGAAUUUAGCAAGUGGUUUCAGCAAAUGUGUAAACAAAAGAUCAUGAUUUACUUUUCUAUAUUGUGAAAAUAGAAAAAGCUGUUCAAUUUGUUCCAUAAAUUAUUCAGUGUAAGCUAGUCAUUCACUACCAAAAUGCUGUCUUCAUAUUUUUUUAUAUUUGAUGUUUGCAGAAGUAAAAUUAUUUUGUAAUCUCUGUAAUUCUUUCAGCUGUAUUAGGAAAAAAAGCUUUAAAGAGGAAUACUUAUUUUCACAGGAAAAGGAAGCCUCUAUUCUUCCAUCACCAGAAAUAGAGAAAAAUCACUCUAAAUAUACAAUUUUGAGGAAAAUUAUGGAGUGAAGAACUUAUGUCCAUCAAGGCAUGUUUAUUUAGCACAGUGCAUCUCUUCACAUGACUUUUAAAUAAGGACUUAGAAAGGUCUACAGUUCUCUGAAAGUCUAGGAACCAAGAAACUAUUUGAUAGCAUACAGAAAAUACUGAAGUGAGCGUGUUAUCUCAUCUGGGUAGUUCAGUUUAUUGGUUGUCAUUUCAUAACAUUGAAAACACUGUCAGUUGUAGAGAAGAGAUUUUGGAUUGUUUAGCAUAUCUUCCUUGCCUUGUGAAUUUUCCCAAUGUGGCUUUGAACAAUAUUAAAAGAAAAGUAGCAGGGACAAUUGGGAAUUAAAGGACAACCAUUGUCAUCAAAGCAAGAUGAAUGUAUAGGGUAGAUUUCUGGUAAGGGAAUUUAACUGCCAUCAGAACUGAACUUCCAGGAAGAAAUAAACUGGAGCAGUUUACU
rnacentral:lncRNA from 1 species